AUGCCUGGACUAGGCAGCAUCAGAGCACUCGCAGCUGAAGCCCCUCCCUGCAUAGGAGAGAUGGAGGGCAGAGCCAGAUCUUUCUUUUCUAGUCCAGUAAGGUUUCCGGGAAGAACUCAAGGGCCCGUGUGGGGCGGGAAGCUGGGAUGCAUCUCCAUGACAACCACCCAGGCCCAAGGCCAGUUUCAUCACCUGGAAACUAAACAAGACACAGACAGACGAAGGGAAUAUUUGUUGGGAAGUUUGGAGUCUCCUAAGGGUGAGCCUGUUUGUACGGGGGGAAGGGAAAGAAAAGGAGGGAGAAAAGGGCUGGAAAUUGACAAGACCGAGGCUGGUUCCGUGAAGAGACUUUGCUGCCUCCAAGAAGAGCCAUCCAAGGCGGCUAAGGCAGAACUGAUGGCUCGGUCACACAAGGAGAGGCAGUCUGAGGGUCUAGUGCCAAGCCCGGUGCCCAGAGGGACAGCACCUUUCAACCCGGGAGCUGCCAAAGAAGUUAGAAGCCAGGGCUAUGUAUAGAAACCACAUCAGUCACCACUGAAAUAGAGAGCAGCAACUCCCCCAUACCAUUUCGGGACAGAAGACAGAGCAGCCAGGUCCAGCCCAAACAGAGGAAGUGGGGAGUAGAGAAGUCACUAGAACACUACGUGGUGUGCAGAGGGGUCUUACGGGGCAUGUUGGCAAGGAUGGGCACUGCCAAGAGCUGCCGCGCGUUUGCGAUAGAAGAGAACCGCCUCAGGGCAUCACAGUCCUUCUCCGGGAUGCAGUUCGUCAUAUAUGGAAAGACCCUCAGGGACAGGAAAUUUGAUAAAUUCCCAUUCCAAUGUUUCACGACCCUGACAGCCAAGAAGCUCUUCCUGGUCGCUAAGCUACAGGCAGCUUCCCACCGUUUAAAUGCAUUUUUCCUUCUGACGUCCUUAGUGGAGAUGGGGAACAGCUGGUCACCGUCCUCCACAUGAUAACCCCUCUUAUAUUGAAGAUGGUUAUUAUGUCAUUCCUCACCCUUUGUCUCUCCUCGUUAAGCAAACAAACAAACAAACAAAACUCCAAUUUCUUUAUCUUAGUGUCAAACGCCUUUUUCUUUGUCCUAACUCAUCCCAAUCCAUUAUCACCCUCCCAUUCCCCACCCCCCACCCCCCGUUUUUUAAAGUUAUGGUCUUUCUCCUGACCUUGUUGUGGAAUUGGUGGGGCACAUAGAAUAUCAGCACAUAUAAUAUCAGGCACAUAUAAUAUCCAUAGCACCAUGGAAAUGGAGGUCAAAGGAUCGGAAUGGGGGGAGCCUGAGUCGUGUGCCUUCCCUUUACAAGCUGGCUGCUUCCGCUAGCAUCUCUCAGCCUUCAUGGCCUGAGGAGGUAUCUCAGCCUCAAAUCACAGAUCUGGAAACGAAGAUUCAGAGAUAUUAAGUCACCUGUUGAAGAUUAUCUGGUUGAGAGUCACCAGAGAUCAGAUUUUAAGUCAUCACUCACUGCUUAUGAACUCACAGACCUGUUCAGGCCGAAAGCAUAUUACGUCCAUUUGGAGGAAAGUGAAUCAAAAACACACUAAGAUAUCACUUCCCAUUCCCUGAGAGAGCUAUGACAAGAGACAGACAACCGGUGUUGGCGAGGGUGUGGAGAAUGGGCACCCUCCCAGCGGGAAUGUCCAUGAUGCAACCACUUUGGAAAAUGGUAAGGGAGUUUCUUAAAUGGUUGACUAUAGAUAUAGUAUAUCAUCUCCAAAUUUCA
ensembl:lincRNA